rnacentral:rRNA from 1 species
CAGUCGAGCGGACGGAUGGGAGCUUGCUCCCUGAAGUCAGCGGCGGACGGGUGAGUAACACGUGGGCAACCUGCCUGUAAGACUGGGAUAACUCCGGGAAACCGGGGCUAAUACCGGAUAAUUCUUUCCCUCACAUGAGGGAAAGCUGAAAGAUGGUUUCGGCUAUCACUUACAGAUGGGCCCGCGGCGCAUUAUCUAGUUGGUGAGGUAACGGCUCACCAAGGCGACGAUGCGUAGCCGACCUGAGAGGGUGAUCGGCCGCACUGGGACUGACACACGGCCCAUACUCCUACGGGAGGCAGCAGUAGGGAAUCUUCCGCACUGGACGA